rnacentral:rRNA from 1 species
UGGGGAAUAUUGCACAAUGGAGGGAACUCUGAUGCAGCGACGCCGCGUGAAUGAAGAAGGCUUUCGAGUCGUAAAGUUCUUUUAUAUGGGAAGAUAAUGACGGUACCAUCAUAAAAAGCCCCGGCUAACUACGUGCCAGCAGCCGCGGUAAUACGUAGGGGGCUAGCGUUGUCCGGAAUCACUGGGCGUAAAGGGUUCGCAGGCGGAAAUGCAAGUCAGGUGUAAAAGGCAGUAGCUUAACUACUUUAAGCAUUUGAAACUGCAUAACUUGAGAAGAGUAGAGGUAAGUGGAAUUUUUAGUGUAGCGGUGAAAUGCGUAGAUAUUAAAAAGAAUACCGGUGGCGAAGGCGACGUACUGGGCUCAUUCUGACGCUGAGGAACGAAAGCGUGGGUAGCAAACAGG